rnacentral:rRNA from 1 species
AUGGGAUGGGCUGGAUUGGCGCACAGAACAAGCCAGCAGCCCUCUCUCUCGAACAGUUUUGCCUCUGCUCCUUCCUCCUUCACGCCCACCACUAUCCCACUCGAACCCUCAACGCCGCCGCCAGUCGCGCCGCCACGCCCGCUACCCCCGGUCGUCGGCCGGAUCCCCUCCUCCGCCUACAGAUCCGGAGAUCCCGGCCUCGUUGCCGCAGGAUCCCGUGCUCAGCGGCGCUCGUCCCGCCACCAGCUUGGAGCAGCGACCACAUGGAAAUGGCGACCUCGCCCGGACGCCGUUGAUGCCCGAGACAACCGCCGGAGCCAGGAGCAGCAGUCCGAAGGCCGAGAGCCCUCGCCCAAACCACAAGUGUCAAGCAUGACUGCUGAAUGGAGCGUUGAGAACACUAAGAUUGUAUGUGAGUUGUUCGCCGACCAAGUGGACGCUGGAAAUAGGCCAGGCAAUUAUUUGACCCCAAAUGCAUUUGAUGAGGUGACAAGACAAUUUAAGAUGAGAACCGGGCUUGAUUACACACACACACGCAAUUGA